UCCUACGGGUGGCUGCAGUGGGGAAUUUUGGACAAUGGGGGCAACCCUGAUCCAGCCAUUCCGCGUGAGUGAAGAAGGCCUUCGGGUUGUAAAGCUCUUUUGUCCGGAGCGAAACGGGUAGCCCUAAUACGGCUGCCUACUGACGGUACCGGAAGAAUAAGCACCGGCUAACUACGUGCCAGCAGCCGCGGUAAUACGUAGGGUGCGAGCGUUAAUCGGAAUUACUGGGCGUAAAGCGUGCGCAGGCGGUUUUGUAAGCCAGACGUGAAAUCCCCGGGCUCAACCUGGGAAUGGCGUUUGGGACUGCAAGGCUGGAGUGUGGCAGAGGGGACUAGAAUUCCUGGUGUAGCAGUGAAAUGCGUAGAUAUCAGGAGGAAUACCGAUGGCGAAGGCAGGUCCCUGGGUUAACACUGACGCUCAUGCACGAAAGCGUGGGGAGCAAACAGGAUUAGAUACCCCAGUAGUC
rnacentral:rRNA from 1 species